GGACCGGUGGGUUGGUCGUGCCUCCGGUACGUACUGGUCUUACUGGUUCCUCCCUUCUGAAGAACCACGAUGUCAUUAAUUUGGUGUCGUGGGGAAUCAGGACUGUUACUUUGAAAAAAUUAGAGUGUUUAAAGCAGGCUAAAGCUUGAAUAGAUUAGCAUGGAAUAACGAAAUAGGACGUUUGAUUCUAUUUUGUUGGUUUCUAGGAUCGACGUAAUGAUUAAUAGGGAUAGUUGGG
rnacentral:rRNA from 1 species